CAGCAGCCGCGGUAAUACGUAGGUCCCGAGCGUUGUCCGGAUUUAUUGGGCGUAAAGCGAGCGCAGGCGGUUAGAUAAGUCUGAAGUUAAAGGCUGUGGCUUAACCAUAGUACGCUUUGGAAACUGUUUAACUUGAGUGCAAGAGGGGAGAGUGGAAUUCCAUGUGUAGCGGUGAAAUGCGUAGAUAUAUGGAGGAACACCGGUGGCGAAAGCGGCUCUCUGGCUUGUAACCGACGCUGAGGCUCGAAAGCGUGGGGAGCAAACAGGAUUAGAUACCCCUGUAGUCCCUGUCUCUUAUACA
rnacentral:rRNA from 1 species